rnacentral:misc_RNA from 1 species
CGCGCAUGCACUUCAGUGUGCAAGUGCUGCAACGCAUUGUGCACGCGCGCGUGAGCGGGGGGACUUGUUGUCCAUGGUGAAUCUCUCUUCCGUGCGUCCGCAUCCCCCUCCCUUCCCCUCUCUCCACCCCUCCCAUUUCCGUGUGUGGGUGUGGAGAAGGAUGCAGUGCGCUGUAGGGAGUCUGAUGCGCUCCUCUCCCUCAAGGAGGAAGAUCGUCGUCGUGCGACUCAAGGCACACAGUGACGACGCGGCAGAACGUGAUUGUCAUUUCGCUAUCAGCUCCUGCUAAGUUGCAUGCAACCCUUCCGCAUCUAUCCGCGUUGGUUGCGCUUGUGACGUGGGCGUCAACUCCCCCACACCAGCCCUAGCGCUUGCAGAACUCCUCUUUUCCCUUCUUGUAUGGAAGUGGACGCUUGGCCCGGUCUGCCUUGCCCCCCUCCUUCGUGUAUGCUCGGCCCAACCAACGGACGAGAGGUGCGGCGAGUUCGCCCUUUCCGUCCUUCCUCGCAUAUCUAGCCGAUUCCUGUGUUAUUCAUACGCGCCCCCCCCCCAACCGCUUACCCGGUGUCGUCUCUGGUACUGCGUGGAUCUGCUGUGGAAUGCCGGUAGCAUGCAAGAGGGGAAGGGGCAGUGAGAAGGAAAAACGUGCGCCUCACGACCGGCCCGCGUACGUCACGUUCAACUUGCAGCCGCGACGAUGCGCAGUGCGGGCCUCACUCCCCUUUGUGCCGUGCACGUUCAACGGAUCACAGGGCCAGCGCUCCCCUGGCCCAAGCCAGGCAAGCAACGCGUGGGAGCCCCCUCCCCCCUCACGGUUAUCCAUUUGCGCGCGCUGCCCCCUCUGGAUUUCUGCUCACUCGCACAGGGGUGAAGGGGGAGGAGCGGGGAAGGGGUUGGGCACCAAGCGCUGCGCCCCGCCCCACCAGCAGCGCUUGUCAAGGAAUGUCUGUUCCCACCAGGCCAAGGCGAAGGAGUUCGUCGUCCGUUUUCAUCAGCCGUGCUUCCUUGCCCGGUGACGUCGAACGAUUUGGCAACCCUGGUGCGUUGCAAGAUGGCGCGCGCCGCCGCCACGAAGAUCAGCCCCCCACCCUCACCACAUCCCGAAGACACGGGCGAAAAGCCGGGCUUUCGAAAAAAGGCUUUGCGACGAGGCGUGGGGCUCAAGUGCGGACAUGCUCCGCGGUGUGAUUCUGCAACGGCGGACGUGCGCGGGGUGGGCUGCUCCGUUUCCGGCCUGACCCGGUUCCCUCGCUUCAACGGCGGGCCCGCGCCACCCCUCUGCAGGGGUGCGGGUCACACCGACACACAGCCAAGCAGAGCACCACGUCAACGCAGCGCGUCACCCUCGCUGGUCCACGUCCUCCCCGCUAAGCCUGAUUAGCCCCCGACGGUUACAGAGCUG